AUUUUGUUAUGAGGGUACUUUCUUAAUUACUCUUUGAAUCUUUCCCAUGCCUCAUACAAGGACUCAUCAUCCAUUUGUUGGAAAGCAGUAAUCUCAUUUCUCAGCUU
rnacentral:snoRNA from 1 species